rnacentral:tRNA from 1 species
UCCCUCAUAGCUCAGCUGGUAAAUCAUCUGCCUGCAAUGCAGGAGACCCGGGUUCGAUUCCUGGGUUGGGAA